rnacentral:rRNA from 1 species
AGAGUUUGAUCAUGGCUCAGGAUGAACGCUAGCGGCAGGCUUAAUACAUGCAAGUCGUGGGGCAGCAUGACUGUAGCAAUACAGUUGAUGGCGACUGGCAAACGGGUGCGGAACACGUACACAACCUUCCUUCGAGUGGGGAAUAGCCCGGGGAAACCCGGAUUAAUACCCCGUAACAUAAUGAAGUGGCAUCACUUUAUUAUUAUAGCAGCAAUGCGCUUUAAGAUGGGUGUGCGACUGAUUAGGCAGUUGGCGGGGUAACGGCCCACCAAACCUACGAUCAGUAACUGGUGUGAGAGCACGACCAGUCACACGGGCACUGAGACACGGGCCCGACUCCUACGGGAGGCAGCAGUAAGGAAUAUUGGUCAAUGGACGCAAGUCUGAACCAGCCAUGCCGCGUGGAGGAUGAAGGUCCUCUGGAUUGUAAACUUCUUUUAUCUGGGAAGAAAUCCACGAAUUCUUUUGUGGUUGACGGUACCAGAUGAAUAAGCACCGGCUAACUCCGUGCCAGCAGCCGCGGUAAUACGGAGGGUGCAAGCGUUAUCCGGAUUCACUGGGUUUAAAGGGUGCGUAGGUGGGCAGGUAAGUCAGUGGUGAAAUCUCCGGGCUUAACUCGGAAACUGCCAUUGAUACUAUCUGUCUUGAAUACCGUGGAGGUCAGCGGAAUAUGUCAUGUAGCGGUGAAAUGCUUAGAUAUGACAUAGAACACCAAUUGCGAAGGCAGCUGGCUACACGAAUAUUGACACUGAUGCACGAAAGCGUGGGGAUCAAACAGGAUUAGAUACCCUAGUAGUCC